UGUCACUAAUGUGGAAAUUCCCCACCCCUGUCUGGGUUGAAUAAUGGCCAUUGUCAAAGGAAAAUGUGGAGCUGCAGAGGCCCUUAUUCAAGAACACCUACAACUGGGACAUAUUGAACCUUCUACUAGCCCUUGGAAUAUGCCUGUUUUUGUUAUAAAAAUGAAGUCAAGAAAAUGGAGAUUAUUACAAGAUUUAAGAGAAAUUAAUACAUGUAUAAACCCAUGGGUCUGCUUCAAUGUGGAUCACCAAACACAAAUUUAAUUCCUCAGGAUUUUUCUUUAUAUGUCAUUGACUUAAAAGAAUCUUUUAAAACUGUUCCUUCAAGGUCAUUGUACUGUCAUGUGUAACUAAUCAAAACAAAUAAAAAAAAAUUUUUUAAAGUUCCUCUUUCCUGAUGAUCAGAAAAAAAUUUGCUUUUACUGUCCUCAUUUUUAACCAUCCUAAGACUACUAAUAUAUUGCAUUGGAAACUUAUGCCAUAAGGAAUGCUAAAUAGCCCAAUAUUAUAUCAAUAUUUUGUUAAUAAAGCCUUGUUCUUUUUUGGUCAUAAAUUUUCUCAUUUAUUUAUUUAUCAUUGUAUGGAUGAUAUGUUGCUUACAGGAUGAAACAUCACAGAUGAAAUUCUACAAACAUUAGGGGAAGUGUUAUUACAAUCAGGACUCUAUGUUGUAACAGAAAAAAAUUCAACCUUACCUCUCUAUCAGUUGUUAAAGAAAUAACACUAUACUGCCUUUUUCAAGCUCUACAAAAAAUUAACAGAAAUUUGGUGCGAGUAAUGGUGAGUCAACCUCCUUUAUCUAAUGUGCCAUUAUCAUUGGUAAUUUUUGUAGGAAAACUUUAUGUCUUUAGAGCAGUAAUUGCUAUUUAUAAUCAAAGAUUGUAUAUAUCAAUAUGGUUACACUUUCCUCAUUUUUUAGGCUAGAAUGUUCUGCUUUUGUUGAUAAAUCUGCAUAAUUAACUGCUGAUGGUUGCACUAAAAUUUUAUCUUUCACAGGCAUAGACAUUCAUGUUUUAUAUCUCACUUAUGGAAAAAUUCUACUUCUCCAGUGCUUAAGAUUUUUUUCCUACUAUCAAGUUGUAUUUUUUUAGCACCUAUUUCUUUUCACAUAUCUCAUGAUGGGUGAGUCUCUUUCCUAUGUCAGGUUACACACUCCCCCUCUUUCUUGAUCUCUACCCUUCUUCUUGUAGCUGGGUUGAUGUUGUAUACAGAUGGAGGUAAACAAAGUGGAUAGUAUCUGUUUUUAUUAAUGAUAAAUUCCUGGACCUCGGAUGGAAGGUAACACACAGAUGCAGCUGUGAGAUCCCUUUAUACUUUAUUUUCAGAUGCUGUAGAAUCUCAGGAAUGUUUUCAUCAAAAUUCUUGCUCACUAAUGAAGGUGUUUUCCAUUUUUUUCCCAACAGACUGUGCCACUGUCAGUAACUGUUCUCACUGUAUGCCCUUCUGGGACCCCAUAUGGGAAUCUGUAAAUUCAUGAGGGCCUACAGUCUAAUGCACUUUAGGAAAUGAACAUUAUCCAUUUCUUUUCCUUUCAUCCUUUUCCCUUUCUCCAUGUUUCCAUUAAGACUCAUUCUGGGCUCAUUAGGGCUAGUGCCCAUAGAUCUAAAAAGGUACCUGCUUGCAUUUCUUAUUUAUUACUCUGCUUUGCCACUAUGGACAAACCAACUCAUUUAAAAAAUGUAUUCAUUUUUAAAACAUUUGCCCCUUCACAUAUGUCCUAUGCUUUUGCAUAAUUUUGUACUCAUUGGCGACUGUCACAGCUUACAAAGAAAGAAAGAAAUUGGCCUGUGAUGUGGUGAAAAAUACGAAUUACAACUCUAUGGAAAUCAAUAUGCUAAAUGAAGAACAAAAAAAUCAUUUGGUCAUUCUUCACAAUUGGGCUGCAAUUGAUUAUUAUUACAUUAUAAAGUUUGUAAUGAUCUUAACAAUAUGUCUUGCUUUAUUUUAAGGGACAAUAGUCACUCCAUUUCAGAUGAGUUAUAUUACCUUAUAGAUAUCAUUAAAAAGAUCUAACAGAAUUAUGGAAGUUCAGAUAUAUUGGAUUGCUUAACCGUGUGGUUAACCAAUCUUACUUGGAUUAAACAACUUGUCAUUGGUGAGUGUCUACAGAGAUUGUUGUUUUGUUUUUGAUGUUGUUGAAGCCUACCCUAAUUUUUCCUCCACCAAUAUUGAAAAACAAAACAAAACAGAAAAUAAACCCCAAACAUCAUCCAUCCAAAAGGCCACACAAACUAAAAAACAAGAAGCUAUAAGUGUGUGCUGUGGAAAUGUACUAAACAGCAAGUGUCUCUGUGAGAAAACUCCUGGAGAAUAAGAGGUGUCUUGUUUCCCACAGCUGGAACAUUCUGCAGUUUCUCCCAGACACGAUUACAAUAACUAAUGCAUGCUCAACCAGAACACCUAAUGUACUAAUGGUGCAGUGAACUACUGUAACCUAAUGGUAUAAAUAAAGACAGCUGCUUAGACAAGCAGCCAUUUUGCCUCUGCA